UAGAAUCCACACUCUUGGC
rnacentral:piRNA from 1 species